GUCUCUUCGGUGAUGCACUUAACAGAUUAAGCAUUCCGCCUGGGGAGUACGGUCGCAAGAUUAAAACUCAAAGGAAUAGACGGGGACCCGCACAAGUGGUGGAGCAUGUGGUUUAAUUCGAAGAUACACGAAGAACCUUACCUGGCCUUGACAUCCCGAGAACCUUUAAGAGAUUAGAGGGUGCUAGCUUGCUAGAACUCGGUGACAGGUGCUGCACGGCUGUCGUCAGCUCGUGUCGUGAGAUGUUGGGUUAAGUCCCGCAACGAGCGCAACCCUCGUCGUUAGUUGCUAACAGUUCGGCUGAGCACUCUAACGAGACUGCCUUCGUAAGGAGGAGGAAGGUGAGGACGACGUCAAGUCAUCAUGGCCCUUAUGGCCAGGGCUACACACGUGCUACAAUGGGGCGUACAGAGAGCUGCAAUACCGCGAGGUGGAGCCAAUCUCAUAAAGCGUCUCUCAGUUCGGAUUGUUCUCUGCAACUCGAGAACAUGAAGCUGGAAUCACUAGUAAUCGUAGAUCAGCUAUGCUACGGUGAAUACGUUCCCGGGUCUUGUACUCACCGCCCGUCACACCAUGGGAGUU
rnacentral:rRNA from 1 species